CAAAGUACAAAUGUCCUUAACUUUGCUCUGAUGCCUUGUCACACACACAGCAGUGACUUGGGAGAAGAGAAAAAGAAAGUAUGAAUAGUGCUACAAUAAUUAGUGCAUAAAAAAUUAACAAGCAAACAACCAACCACCAGCAGAGCAACACCUUCCAUGAGGUUUAGACAAAAGAGAGGAAAUUAUUCCCUCUAAUUCUGUUCCCAGCUCUCUUGGGCUUUGAAGGGUAAUGUGCUGAGAGAUAUUUUACUGUCCUGGGAAAUCUGAGGCUCAGCUGAAGUGACAAAAGCCUGCAGGAACUGUUUGUGCUCACAGCUUUUAACAAAGCAGCCACCAACAAAGCAGCUUCCAGCCUGGAGAGAAACUGAACAGCACAGGGAGUCUUGACACGGCUUGGCAGUGACUGGCCAAAGAGUGAAAACAACUCACACCAGAAUUUAUUGAAACAAUCACCUGUGGGUAAACACACUGUAGAUGAGAAAAACACAGGAGCAGAAAAUUAAAUUAAAAUUGUUUUCCUUUUUCUCUGAGGCCUCUCAGCUUCUCAGGUGAAAAAUCCUGAGCAAAGGGAUUUUUUCAGAAAAUGUAAAUACCACAACAUUCCCAGUCUUCAAGAUCAUGCCACAAGAAAAUGAAACCCACAUCCAUGAGUUCAUCCUCUUGGGAUUCCCUACCACCAGAGAGCUCCAGGCUCUGCUGUUUGUACUUUUCCUCGCCAUGUAUUUGCUGACUGUCACCGAGAACAUCGUUAUCAUCACUUUGAUCACAACCCACCCCCAGCUCCACAAGCCCAUGUACUUUUUCCUGGGCCACCUCGCUUUCCUAGAGGCCUGCUACAUCUCAGUCACCGUCCCCAAGCUGCUGCUCACCUUGGUGGUGAAGAACAAGAGCAUCUCCUUCGCAAGCUGCAUGGCCCAGCUGUACUUUUUCAUCGCCCUGGUGUGCACUGAGUGUGUCCUGCUGGCCGCCAUGGCCUACGACCGCUACGUGGCCAUCUGCACCCCGCUGCACUACGCGCUCGCCAUGGGCCGCAGGGCCUGCCUGCAGCUGGCCACGGGCUCCUGGCUGCUUGGCUUUUUCAUCGCUGUGCUCAAGGUCUUCUUCAUUGCCCAGCUCUCCUUCUGUGGGCCUGGGGUCAUCAACCAUUUCUUCUGUGACAUCAGCCCGCUGCUCAACCUCUCGUGCACCCAGCGGCGCCUUGCUGAGAUGGUGGAUUUCAUCUCGGCCUUGUUUACUUUGCUGAUCCCUCUCUCUGUCAUCAUAAUUUCUUAUGCCUGCAUAAUCAGAACUGUUUUGCUCAUUCCCAAGGCCCAGAACAGGAUGAAAGCCUUCUCUACCUGUGCUUCUCACCUGGCUGUGGUCGUCAUUUUCUUCUCAGCCACCCUCUUCAUGUACGCUCGGCCCAGGAGUGUGAACUCCAGGGAUCUCAACAAGCUGGUUUCCAUCAUUUACACCAUUGUCACCCCACUGCUGAACCCAUGCAUCUACUGCCUGAGGAACCAGGAGUCCUUCUACAUUACAUGAGGAGAUAUAAGCACUAAGAGAAGAAUCAGUUGUCUAAACACAGAUCUUUCCUAAAGGAACAUUCAGAGGAGAGGGUCAGGAAGAACUUUAAGGACUCCAUCAACAUUACUGUGUCCAGUUUGGCACUUCCCACUAGAAGAAGGACAAAAUGGACAUUCCAGCAGAGAGUUACCAAAUGACAGAAGGGUGGGAGCACACAGCACACAGAGAGGGACAGAUGGGAGCAGUUUUUUAAGUCUAGAAAAAAGAAUGUUGAGGAGGUGUUUAGCUGCAGUCUGUCACCACCUGAAGACGGUUGCAGAGGACAUAAAGGCAAUUCCUAAUUGUGCAUGCCUGAAAAGACAAAAGCAACAGGAACUUGUUCCAACAAAUUAAAUUCAGAUAAGAUAGAGUGAUGAAGCACCACAACACAAUCCCAGAAAGGUCAUGAAAUCUCUGUCCUUUGAGCUUUGCAAAGCUUGACCUGACAAGUCCCUGAAAAACCUGACCACCCCGAAAUAUGUUUGUGACAGCAGAGUGAGUUAAAAUAUUCUGGAAGUAAAGUUCUGUCCAUCCAACCCAAGUUUUUGUAUGAUUCUUUGAUCUGGAUGUCAAAUGGAAAAGGCUGUGGCAUCUCAAACUGCAACAGAAAUUGAUGAUUGGGGAAGUGAAUCUGGUACCCACUGAGCAGAUUUCAACAUUGAGCAAUAUGUUCAAUCCUAUCCAGGGAAUGGAUGCUCUGCAGAUGAUCCAUGUCACUCUUCCACUGGGGAGCCAAGAGCUGGGUGCAGUACUCCAGAUGUGAAUAUAUUUAUAAUUUCACUUCCCUUUUACAGCAUAACUCUGCCCAUGUCUCUGUUACAUCAGCUGUGCCUUGCUCUAGCUGAGAGCUGAGAAUGUCAGAGGUACUGAAAUCUCUCAGGAAAGCUGUUUAAGCACUGCUCUGACCUCACAUCCAAUGGCCUAAAUAGCAGCUACUGAGGUGCAAUUCAUUGGUUUUGUCCCUUUUUAUAGCUUGUCACUGUUAGACCACAGCACAGCCUCCAAUAUCCCAUACUGAACAAACCCAGUAACUUUUCAUGGUGCACAUACCCUGAGUCAUAUCUUCACAUCUUAGCAGGCCUUGCUAAGCUCCUCUCUAGUUUAUCCACAUUUUCCUUGA